CCUACGGGAGGCAGCAGUGGGGAAUAUUGCACAAUGGGCGAAAGCCUGAUGCAGCGACGCCGCGUGAGUGAUGAAGGAAUUCGUUACGUAAAGCUCUAUCAGCAGGGAAGAAAAUGACCGUACCUGAUUAACAAGCCCCUGCUAACUACGUGCCAGCAGCCGCGGUAAUACGUCGGGGGCAAGCGUUAUCCGGAUUUACUGGGUGGAAAGGGAGCGUAGACGGCAGUGCAAGUCUGGAGUGAAAGGCGGGGGCUCAACCCCCGGACUGCCCUGGAAACUGUACGGCUGGAGUGCAGGAGAGGUGAGUGGAAUUCCUAGUGUAGCGGUGAAAUGCGUAGAUAUUAGGAGGAACACCAGUGGCGAAGGCGGCUUACUGG
rnacentral:rRNA from 1 species